GGGGGUGUAGCUCAGUUGGGAGAGCGCCUGCUUUGCACGCAGGAGGUCAUCGGUUCAAGUCCGUUCACCUCCACCA
rnacentral:tRNA from 1 species